rnacentral:rRNA from 1 species
CACGUAGGAGGCGAGCGUUGUCCGGAAUCAUUGGGCGUAAAGAGCGCGCAGGCGGCUUGGCAAGUCGGGUGUGAAAUCCCGGGGCUCAACCCCGUGACUGCAUCCGAUACUGUCAGGCUAGAGGUAGGUAGGGGAGAUCGGAAUUCCUGGUGUAGCGGUGAAAUGCGCAGAUAUCAGGAGGAACACCGGUGGCGAAGGCGGAUCUCUGGGCCGUACCUGACGCUGAGGCGCGAAAGCUAGGGGAGCGAACAGG